rnacentral:rRNA from 1 species
CAGUAGCCGCGGGAAUACGAAGGGGGCAAGCGUUGUUCGGAAUUACUGGGCGUAAAGGGCGCGUAGGCGGCUUAUCAAGUCAGGCGUGAAAUUCCCGGGCUCAACCUGGGGGCUGCGUUUGAUACUGAUGAGCUUGAAUGCGGGAGAGGAUAGUGGAAUUCCCAGUGUAGAGGUGAAAUUCGUAGAUAUUGGGAAGAACACCGGUGGCGAAGGCGGCUAUCUGGCCCGUGAUUGACGCUGAGGCGCGAAAGCGUGGGGAGCAAACAGGAUUAGAUACCCCAGUAGUCCCUGUCUCUUAUAC